UGAGUCAGGGGAAGUUUGGUGAGGUUAAGUAACUUGUCUAAAAUGCAACAGCUAGAAAGCACCAAGUCUGUAAUUUGAACUCUAUUUGCGAUUUCUAAUCCAGCACUCUUUCUAAUAUAUCAAACUGCCUUCUGAUAUUUAUAAAACAAGGGUGUUGGACUACAGAUUUUUAAUUUAACAACUAUUAUAUACAGAAUUUCAUAAAUUAAAAAAUACCUUCACAUUCAUUAUCAUCCAUUCUGUAAAUAAAAUGUGUCAUAAAUGUUGAAAACAAAUGUAGUUGCAUAUCGGAACCACAUUUUUAGUCCUUGAUAAGCUAUGGGUGGGGGGUAAAAGCUGAGAAAAAAAAAACAUUAAGAAUACUGUUUGGAAUACUGUUUGGAGUUUGAAAGGGGAAAAAGAAUUCUUUUAUAAAAAUGUAAAU